UACGUAGGGGGCAAGCGUUAUCCGGAUUUACUGGGUGUAAAGGGAGCGCAGACGGCAGCGCAAGUCUGAUGUGAAAUCUCGGGGCUCAACCCCGGAACUGCAUUGGAAACUGCGCAGCUCGAGUAUCGGAGAGGUAAGCGGAAUUCCUAGUGUAGCGGUGAAAUGCGUAGAUAUUAGGAGGAACACCGGCGGCGAAGGCGGCUUACUGGACGAAGACUGACGUUGAGGCUCGAAAGCGUGGGGAGCAAACAGGAUUAGAUACCCUGGUA
rnacentral:rRNA from 1 species